rnacentral:rRNA from 1 species
CACGUAGGGCGCAAGCGUUGUCCGGAAUUAUUGGGCGUAAAGAGCUCGUAGGCGGUCUGUUGCGUCCGCUGUGAAAACCCGGGGCUUAACCCCUGGCUUGCAGUGGAUACGGACAGACUAGAGGUAGGUAGGGGAGAAUGGAAUUCCCGGUGUAGCGGUGAAAUGCGCAGAUAUCGGGAGGAACACCGGUGGCGAAGGCGGUUCUCUGGGCCUUACCUGACGCUGAGGAGCGAAAGUGUGGGGAGCGAACAGG